UACAGAGGUGGCAAGCGUUGUUCGGAAUUACUGGGCGUAAAGGGCGCGUAGGCGGCCUUCUAAGUCAGACGUGAAAUCCCCAGGCUUAACUUGGGAACUGCGUCUGAUACUGGGAGGCUUGAGUGCGGGAGAGGGAUGUGGAAUUCCAGGUGUAGCGGUGAAAUGCGUAGAUAUCUGGAGGAACACCGGCGGCGAAGGCGGCAUCCUGGACCGGCAUUGACGCUGAGGCGCGAAAGCCAGGGGAGCAAACGGG
rnacentral:rRNA from 1 species